AUCGUUCGUAUCUGGCUGAUUACGACUAUAGCCUAUAUCGCUUAUUCGCAAUGUUUAAAUAGCCUUGGCUCGGUCAAUAUAUACGUUUAGGACUUUACGUUUGAUAAAAGCGAUUCUAACGCUCUCCGUAUCGUACGGUAUUAAAAAGGGAUGAUGGAAAUAAACUGCAACGACGCAUUAUAAUCGGAAAGAAUUCGCAUGAUUGCGGAUAGAAUGAAUCGGAUGAGUGAUUGACAGGACGAGCUUAGAAUGAGACGACUCUCUCUCUACAUCAACGUCAUUGGGACUCGUGUGAAUUUUAUUGGUUCACGACCGGAUAAUCAAUCAAGUUUUAUAGUCUUAGUUUUAUUUAAUAAUGCGAAUAGCUUAAAAUUUUCUUUUAUAUUUGUACGUUUGAUCCGAAGAUCAUAUUCUCUUAUUUCAGAGGAAGGAAACUCCAUACACAAAAUACUAUAUAGUUGACGAAGCUAUUUUUUUACUAUUGUAAAUACAAUAAGUUAGAUACAUAUAUAGGCCUGAUUAAUCCCCUAUUCAAUGCCGCGUUGAAAGUUUACACAUCAUAAGCCCUCCAUAAACAUUAGGGUAAAACGAAAGAACUUUCCGAUUGUUUAAACCUUAGAUGUAUUAUAUUUAUAUUUCUAUUUAUAAAGGAUAUAACCAAUAUAUAUAUAAUAUAUAAAGUACUUUUUCAAUGACAGAAAUCAAAUUACACGCUUCGAAACGAUAUAAUUAACGGUAGAAAUUAGCGCUAAUUUGUCAAUAAUUGCGUUGAAAUUUCCAUCUGUCAACCGUAAUUUUUGUAUAAAAGUUUGAAAGAGUAUGUAUGAGUGUGUGUGUGUGUAUUUGUCUGAAAGACAGUUUGCUUUCGCUUUUAAGCUUAAUAAAAAGAAAGGAAAAAAUUGUAAAAGAAACAAAAUGGACAAGGUUAAAGGGCACCGUAUUUGGAUACUUGACUGUAAACAAUUGAGGAAUAAGAAACAAGAAUUUUUAGGAGAACUAAUUCUAAAUGCAAAUUUCAUGCAUAACAAUGGCAACGAAUUAAUGAAGUUAACGCGUCAAAGCUUAGCGAAAUUGAUUGAAUUACGUAUUAGAUUAAUUACAGGCGAAAGUGUUACAAGAAACAAAUGAAAUAUAAACAUGACUUAUAUAUAUAUAUGAUGCUAUUACGAAUUUAUUUGUAUAUGAUCCGAUUUUUUGCGUCAAGGGUCGCAUUUUUUAUAGGCAAGAUAUAACAUAAAAUAUUUGUUUACCUAGGCCUAUAUUAUACCGUUCUACAACGUGGCGAAUUCACUCGAAAAGAUUUAUUCUCGUAUGCAAAUAGACCCGUUCGAUAGGAGUGACGGUCUUAGUGGAAGGUUUAAAUAAAUUUCCGGUUUAUUGAGCGUCUGCGUAUAGGCCUAAGAGGAAAGAGAAGGAACGGGUAUAAGUGAAACCGAGAUUGUAUUCUAAUUAUAAAACUACAUAUUCUAUAUCCUCCUACAGCAACUUAUCACCGAGUACAUUUUCGGUGCGCAUUAUUGCAAUUAAUUUCUAUUAUAGGUAUUAGUAGAAUUUGUAAUCUCGUUAAUACUGAAAAGAGGGAUGUUAGAGAGGGAUGGAAUCUUGUAUUUAUUGACAAUUUAUAAGAAUAAUAAGGUAUUUGACAAAAAAGGAAUGUCACGAGAACAGAGAAACGAAGAUAAAGGGAGCUACUGAUUGAUCGGAAAUGGACUGGACUAGCAUAAAGGAUAAACUAAAACGAAAGCAUAAAAGGUCUAUUUUUAUUUUUUAUUAAAUUCAAUAGCAUCUGUAUAAUAUCUGUCACAUUUUUUUGUAAAUAAACAAACACUCCUUAAAGUUCAACCGGAUGAAAUGCAUUUAAUCUACACAUGAGAAAAGUGACACGCGUCUAAGGCUUUGUAUAAAAUGCAGAGCGAAUGCAGCAGUUAUAAACAAAACUUGCAGUACGCCUGUAAUAAACGUAAAGCAUUCUACGAUUUCACGUUCUUCCGUCUACCACUGUUUACAAUUUGCUGUAAUAUGUACUAGAAGGGAGCAGAUCAGCUUUCUAGUUAUUGUUGAUACAUUGAGGCAUUAAUUCAACCUGAAGAUAUUAUUCAUAUCUUUUUUAUCAUAUAGCUUUCUUCUUCUUAUCUGCUUUGUUUAUUUAAAUCAGCAUAAAUUAAAAGCUCUUUCUAUUUAGGUUUCUUAUUUUUGAAAAAAGGCGGUAAAUUUCAAAUUUCACCAGUUAUCCGUGGAUGUAGUAUGGUUCCUGAUCCUAUUGGGUUUUUAUAGAGAAUAUUUAGUAUGAGAUAGAGGGUGACCGAUAUUUUCAAUCGAAAAUGGCGGAAAAAAUAAAAAUUGAUUCUAAAAAUGAGAAAACUGACGAAGAAACACCGUUAAUGACUUCUUCGGAAGUUUUAAAGAAUACUCUAAGAAGUUUGGCAGCAAAAUCCGCACCCAAAUUUGCAAUUCUCUCAAAACUCUUUCCCGGAGCUUUCAAAAAAAAAUUUGACCAGCUAGAAGAAAUAUGGAAUGAUAGCACAAAUGACUAUAAUAAGGAUGUCGAGGAAACAAUUCAUCGUUUGUUAAAUGAUCCUCAGUGUUCCGACGGCAAGUCAUUCUUAGAUCUUGUGAAUGAUCGAGAAAAGCUAGUUGAAGCAUGUUUACAAAAAGAAACUACUGGAGAUGGGAAACCACUUAACCAUAGUCGGAUAGAUUUGAAUGCUUUCGAAAUUAGCGCUCUAAAUGACAAGAAGAAAUCAUUGGAAGAUGCGUUAAAACGGGAGAAAGAUGAAUUAGAGAGAAAGGUGAAAGAAACUGAAGAUAUUCAUAAACAAUUGGAUUCAGUAAGCAGCGAACUGUUACAAAAUUGCUUAGUUUAAUGGAGAAGAGUGGAAAAGAAGGAGAGAGAGAGAGAGAGAGAAAGAGAAGUGGUCGAAAGAAGAGAGUACAUGCAGCAUAUGUAUAUAUCUAUAUCUAUAUAUAUAUAUAUAUUAAACCAUUUUAUAGUUAUACAAACAUAAUAAAAAGAUUUUGUAAUAAGUUGGCCUUUCUUUCUGAAUGGAACAAAGAGGAAAUCGAAUUGAAAAAAAUACGCAUUAAAAGGCAAUAAAAAGUAUGGAUUAUAAAGUAAAAGAUAACUAUGAGCUAUUUUUAUAUGAAUGAAGCAGAGUGAUCUUCGAUCGACCCUCUCGUUUUAGAUAUUUGAGUUGAAUCCCACGUGAAUUUCGUGAAAAAUACCAUCUGGCCUAUGAAGGCGUACAGUUGUCGAUGGGUCGUAAGGCUUCUAGAUGGAAGAAUUCCUUGUACUGCCAAAUAGGCGACUUUGAAGGCAGUUGCUCUCGUCAAAUACACUUGGGAGAAUUAAUGAACGGCGGUGGCAAUUUUUCUGCGCAAUAGUUCUUCUUAAACCUUUAUUUGCGGUACUUAGUCGCAUAACGCCCGC
rnacentral:misc_RNA from 1 species